GACGAACGCUGGCGGCGUGCUUAACACAUGCGAGUCGAACGGAAAGGCCCUUCGGGGUCCUCGAGUGGCGAACGGGUGAGUAACACGUGGGUGAUCUGCCCUGCACUUUGGGAUAAGCCUGGGAAACUGGGUCUAAUACCGAAUAGGACCACGCGCUUCAUGGUGUGUGGUGGAAAGCUUUUGCGGUGUGGGAUGGGCCCGCGGCCUAUCAGCUUGUUGGUGGGGUAAUGGCCUACCAAGGCGACGACGGGUAGCCGGCCUGAGAGGGUGACCGGCCACACUGGGACUGAGAUACGGCCCAGACUCCUACGGGAGGCAGCAGUGGGGAAUAUUGCACAAUGGGCGCAAGCCUGAUGCAGCGACGCCGCGUGAGGGAUGACGGCCUUCGGGUUGUAAACCUCUUUCAAUAGGGACGAAGCGCAAGUGACGGUACCUAUAGAAGAAGCACCGGCCAACUACGU
rnacentral:rRNA from 1 species